AUGUUCAUGAAUUGCAAUUUCAACAGCAACCUUUUGGAGAACGAAGCUGGAAGGAUAAGUUUUCCAUGGGCCAGGCCAUGCGAUGGAUGCCAUGCAGCACCAAGCACAGUAUACUGCUGUGCUGAUGCUGCAUAUCUCUGUGCAUCUUGUGACACACAGGUUCAUUCUGCUAACCGUGUGGCAUCACGCCAUGAGCGUGUGCGUGUCUGCGAAACCUGUGAGAGUGCACCAGCAGUGCUGGCAUGCCAUGCAGAUGCAGCAGCACUAUGUACCGCCUGUGAUGCACAGGUGCACUCUGCCAACCCAAUUGCUCAGAGGCACCAACGAGUGCCUGUGCUGCCACUCCCAGCUGUUGCCAUUCCAGCUGCCUCUGGCUUCGCGGAGGCAGAAGCUUCUGUCACUGCCCAUGGCGAUAAGGAAGAGGGAGAGGAAGUGGACUCUUGGCUCCUCAGAAGAAAUUCUGAUGACAACAAUUGUGCCAACAAGAUAGAUCGAUACUACAACCUUGUCGGAUACAAUAUGUAUUACGACAACAUCACUUGUGACCCAAGACCAGAAGAACAAUACAGAAUGCAAGAACAGCAUGUGCAGAACAGGUACAUCGAGAAGGAAGGGUGUGAGUGUGUAGUACCUCCACAAGUCGUCAUGGCAAGUGAGCAGCAAGAGAGCGAUUAUGGAACUAUAGGAGCAGGGCAGGCUGCCUCCGUUACCGCUAUGACCAGUACCUACACAGCUUCCAUCAGCAAUGACAUAUCUUUCUCAUCAAUGGAGGUGGGUAUAGUACCGGACAACUCCAGACCAGAUAUCUCAAACAGCAACAUCCUGACUAGCAGUGAAGCCAUGGAGCUCUCAGGCCAUUCACUUCAGAUGCCAGUGCACUUCAGCUCCAUGGACAGAGAGGCCAGGGUCCUCAGGUACAAGGAGAAGAAGCAGACGAGGAAGUUUCAGAAAACCAUAAGGUAUGCAACAAGGAAAGCAUAUGCAGAAGCACGACCACGGAUCAAGGGUCGAUUCGCUAAAAGAUCAGAUAUAGAGCAUGAGGAAGACCACAUGCUGUCACCACCAGCCCUACCAGAUACUAGUAGUUAUAAUACUGUUCCAUGGUUCUGA
rnacentral:rRNA from 1 species